UUAUCCUACACCACAUCUAGCUAUCCACUCACACUACCAAAACUCUCACACCAAAGCAUUCCGAAUCCGCCGAUUUCUUCGAAAAAUGGCGUCGCUCACCCCAAAUCCCAUCCAAUUCCACUUCAGAAACGCUAAAUCCCCAUCCAGGAGGUCCAUUCCUCCGUACCUCGUCGUACUCUCCAACCUCGCCUCCUCGCCGGAGGAUUCCUCCAAGCCCGCGCGUCGCAUUUCCGCCGAUUCCGGCCCCAAAGCUCGAUUCAUCGCGCGAAGAACUGAAUCCGUCUCCGUGCGCCAGCUCCAGCGCCCGCUCACUGAGUACAUGAGCUUGCCGGCGAGUCAGUACUCGGUGUUGGAUGCGGAGCGGAUAGAGCGAGUGGACGACAAUACAUUCAGGUGUUAUGUGUAUAGAUUCAAGUUUUUCGCCUUCGAAGUUUGCCCUGUUUUGCUGGUGAGAGUGGAGGAGCAGCCUGAUGGUUGCUCCAUUAAUCUCUUGUCUUGUAAGCUUGAGGGUUCGCCCAUUGUGGUUGCUCAGAAUGACAAAUUUGAUGCUUCAAUGGAGAAUAAGAUAUCCUGUGAUAGCCCAAGAAGUGAUUCACCGGUUCAGAAGUUGACUUCCAAUGCAGUCAUUGAGGUUAGCAUUGAAAUUCCUUUUGCAUUUCGUGCAAUUCCAACACAAUCCAUUGAGUCAACUGGCUCCCAAGUUCUAGGACAGAUACUGAAGGCUAUGCUUCCCCGAUUUAUGUCACAGGUCUGCUAAUGUGAUUAUUUUUAUUUCUCAGGUGUUUUAUAGAUAUUGUAUUUGUAUUAUAAAAAUAGCUGGUUUUAGUCUUAUUGAGCAUUUAAGGGUAAAAAAGGGAUCCCUUCCUCCGAGUUCAUGCUCUGGCGCUGCAUAUAAGCUAAAUAAUAGUAGUACUAAUAGAAAGCCAAGUUCAGAUUUAAAAUCCCAUUCUGUUUAUUAGAAAUAUUCCUGUAUAGGAGUAAAAUUGAUAGAUCUUUCACCAAAUAACGUGUGAUCUCGUCUUGGAAGCAGCUUGUUAGUGAAGGACUAUCGAGCUUGGGCUUCCGGAGAUACUUCCCGACAGCCGCUUGGGACGGGUGAGAUCUAAAAACAAGCUUUCUACUUCAACACUAGCUAUUUUAGUAUCUCUAUUGUGGUGUAAGUACAUCUUUCAGUUCAACUAGGAAAAUGAGUGAUUUAAUGCUUUUCCUUUAUUUUUUUUAAAAUUUUAUGCUUUAGUGUAAUUUUAAGAUUAUUAAUGUCAAGCACAUUUUUCAUGUGACCAAUGGAGAGCCAACACAUGGACUCUCUUCAUACAAUUUAAGAUAUAUUUUAAGGAUCCUAAA